rnacentral:rRNA from 1 species
AUUGAACGCUGGCGGCAGGCCUAACACAUGCAAGUCGAGCGGUAGCACAGGGAGCUUGCUCCUGGGUGACGAGCGGCGGACGGGUGAGUAAUGUCUGGGAAACUGCCUGAUGGAGGGGGAUAACUACUGGAAACGGUAGCUAAUACCGCAUAACGUCGCAAGACCAAAGAGGGGGACCUUCGGGCCUCUUGCCAUCAGAUGUGCCCAGAUGGGAUUAGCUAGUAGGUGGGGUAACGGCUCACCUAGGCGACGAUCCCUAGCUUGUCUGGGAGGAUUGCCAUGCACAAUGGAACUGAGGCACGGUCCAGACUCCAACGGGAGGCAGCAGUGGGGAAUAUUGCACAAUGGGCGCAAGCCUGAUGCAGCCAUGCCGCGUGUAUGAAGAAGGCCUUCGGGUUGUAAAGUACUUUCAGCGGGGAGGAAGGCGAUAAGGUUAAUAACCUUGUCGAUUGACGUUAACCGCAGAAGAAGCACCGGCUAACUCCGUGCCAGCCGCCGCGGUAA